rnacentral:rRNA from 1 species
ACUCCUACGGGAGGCAGCAGUGGGGAAUAUUGCACAAUGGGGGAAACCCUGAUGCAGCCAUGCCGCGUGUGUGAAGAAGGCCUUCGGGUUGUAAAGCACUUUCAGUAGGGAGGAAGGUAGUGUAGUUAACACCUGCACUAUUUGACGUUACCUACAGAAGAAGCACCGGCUAACUCCGUGCCAGCAGCCGCGGUAAUACGGAGGGUGCGAGCGUUAAUCGGAAUUACUGGGCGUAAAGCGCAUGCAGGCGGCCUGUUAAGUCAGAUGUGAAAGCCCGGGGCUUAACCUCGGAAUUGCAUUUGAAACUGGCAGGCUAGAGUCUUGUAGAGGGGGGUAGAAUUUCAGGUGUAGCGGUGAAAUGCGUAGAGAUCUGAAGGAAUACCAGUGGCGAAGGCGGCCCCCUGGACAAAGACUGACGCUCAGAUGCGAAAAGCGUGGGGAGCAAACAGGAUUAGAUACCCUGGUAGCACAGAG